UCAGGACGAACGCUGGCGGCGUGCUUAAUACAUGCAAGUCGAGCGGGGUUACACUUUGAUCCUUCGGGAUGACGAGGUUUAACCUAGCGGCGGACGGGUGAGUAACGCGUGGGCAACCUGCCCUAGAGCCUGGGAUAACAGCGGGAAACCGCUGCUAAUACCGGAUAUCUUUACAGCAAGGCAUCUUGCGGUAAAGAAAGGGACUGAAUGCGAGCAUUCAGUUUACGCUUUAGGAUGGGCCCGCGUCCCAUUAGCUAGUUGGUGAGGUAACUGCUCACCAAGGCAACGAUGGGUAGCCGGCCUGAGAGGGUGGACGGCCACACUGGGACUGAGACACGGCCCAGACUCCUACGGGAGGCAGCAGUAGGGAAUAUUGCGCAAUGGGGGCAACCCUGACGCAAGCGACGCCGCGUGAACGAUGAAGGCCUUCGGGUCGUAAAGUUCUGUCCUCAGGGAAGAAAUCGUAUUAUGUACGUUUGACGGUACCUGAGGAGGAAGCCCCGGCUAACUACGUGCCAGCCGCAGC
rnacentral:rRNA from 1 species